UUCCUAUGAUGAGUUUGCCAUGCUAAUAACGAAGCAUGAGAGAGACCGAGUCUCUUUUGGUGUAAAUGAGUUCAACUUUCUGUAUGCUCUGAAGGAU